GUGAUAUUGAUGCGACGCCAUGAUCCUAUCCUAUGUAUGGGUGAGCGGGAUGGGCUUCGAUAUGGUGACAUCGAUAUUAUAUCGAUAUUGAUUGACGUUAUUUGAAGCAGGACACGAUAUAUGAUAUUCAAUGCAAUAACAUUUCGAAGCUUACUACACGUUGCAAUUUACGGAAGUGUGUUAAUUGGCGAUAUUUUAACAGGAAAGCAUUCUAUUUUGUAUGCCAAUAUCGCCACUUUCUUUGAUAUCGCAUCCCUAACUGGAACUGGAAAAUGCUUAAUUAAGCUAUGUGGCAGCCUUGCUUC